AUUGAACGCUGGCGGAAUGCUUUACACAUGCAAGUCGAGCGGCAGCGCGGGGGCAACCCUGGCGGCGAGCGGCGAACGGGUGAGUAACAUAUCGGAACGUACCCAGUCGUGGGGGAUAACUAUCCGAAAGGAUAGCUAAUACCGCAUACGUCCUGAGGGAGAAAGCGGGGGAUCGCAAGACCUCGCGCGAUUGGAGCGGCCGAUAUCGGAUUAGCUAGUUGGUGGGGUAAAGGCUCACCAAGGCGACGAUCCGUAGCGGGUCUGAGAGGACGACCCGCCACACUGGAACUGAGACACGGUCCAGACUCCUACGGGAGGCAGCAGUGGGGAAUUUUGGACAAUGGGGGCAACCCUGAUCCAGCCAUGCCGCGUGAGUGAAGAAGGCC
rnacentral:rRNA from 1 species